UAAGACGAGCCACACAAACGUUAUUCGGAAUCACUGGGCUUAAAGGGUGCGUAGGCUGUGCAGAAAGUUGGGUGUGAAAUCCGACAGCUUAACUGUCGAAGUGCACUCAAAACUACUGUGCUCGAGGAAGAUAGAGGUAAGCGGAACUGAGGGUGGAGCGGUGAAAUGCGUUGAUAUCCUCAGGAACACCGGUGGCGAAAGCGGCUUACUGGAUCUUUUCUGACGCUGAGGCACGAAAGCUAGGGUAGCGAACGGG
rnacentral:rRNA from 1 species